GACGGAGGGGGCAAGCGUUGUCCGGAAUUACUGGGCGUAAAGGGCGCGCAGGCGGCUUUCUAAGUCGGUUGUGAAAGCCCCGGGCUCAACCCGGGGAGGCCAGCCGAUACUGGGAGGCUUGAGUGCAGGAGAGGGAAGUGGAACUGCCGGUGUAGCGGUGGAAUGCGUAGAUAUCGGCAGGAACACCCGCGGCGAAGGCGGCUUCCUGGACUGCUACUGACGCUGAGGCGCGAAAGCCAGGGGAGCGAAC
rnacentral:rRNA from 1 species